GGUUAAGUUAGAAAGGGCGCACGGUGGAUGCCUUGGCACUAGGAGCCGAAGAAGGACGGGACUAACACCGAUAUGCUUUGGGGAGCUGUACGUAAGCGUUGAUCCAGAGAUUUCCGAAUGGGGGAACCCACUAUCUUUAGUCGGAUAGUAUCCUUACGUGAAUACAUAGCGUGAGGAAGGCAGACCCAGGGAACUGAAACAUCUAAGUACCUGGAGGAAGAGAAAGAAAAAUCGAUUUCCUGAGUAGCGGCGAGCGAAACGGAAAGAGCCCAAACCAAGAAGCUUGCUUCUUGGGGUUGUAGGACACUCUAUACGGAGUUACAAAAGAAAGUUAUAAAUGAAGCGGUCUGGAAAGGCCCGCCAAAGACGGUAACAGCCCGGUAGUUGAAAUGGCUUUCCCUCCAGAGUGGAUCCUGAGUACGGCGGAACACGUGAAAUUCCGUCGGAAUCCGGGAGGACCAUCUCCCAAGGCUAAAUACUCCCUAGUGACCGAUAGUGAACCAGUACCGUGAGGGAAAGGUGAAAAGCACCCCGGAAGGGGAGUGAAACAGUUCCUGAAACCGUGUGCCUACAAGUAGUUAGAGCCCGUUAAUGGGUGAUAGCGUGCCUUUUGUAGAAUGAACCGGCGAGUUACGAUUUGUUGCAAGGUUAAGCGGAAAAAGCGGAGCCGUAGCGAAAGCGAGUCUGAAUAGGGCGCAUAAGUAACAGGUCGUAGACCCGAAACCAGGUGAUCUACCCAUGUCCAGGAUGAAGGUAAGGUAAUACUUACUGGAGGUCCGAACCCACGCACGUUGAAAAGUGCGGGGAUGAGGUGUGGGUAGCGGAGAAAUUCCAAUCGAACUUGGAGAUAGCUGGUUCUCUCCGAAAUAGCUUUAGGGCUAGCCUCGAGGUAAAGAGUCAUGGAGGUAGAGCACUGUUUGGACUAGGGGCCCUUCUCGGGUUACCGAAUUCAGAUAAACUCCGAAUGCCAUGUACUUAUACUCGGGAGUCAGACUGCGAGUGAUAAGAUCCGUAGUCGAAAGGGAAACAGCCCAGACCACCAGUUAAGGUCCCCAAAUAUAUGUUAAGUGGAAAAGGAUGUGGGGUUGCUUAGACAACCAGGAUGUUGGCUUAGAAGCAGCCACCAUUGAAAGAGUGCGUAAUAGCUCACUGGUCGAGUGACCCCGCGCCGAAAAUGUACCGGGGCUAAACAUAUUACCGAAACUGUGGAUGAACCUCUUUAGAGGUUCGUGGUAGGAGAGCGUUCUAAGGGCGGUGAAGUCAGACCGGAAGGACUGGUGGAGCGCUUAGAAGUGAGAAUGCCGGUAUGAGUAGCGAAAGAAGGGUGAGAAUCCCUUCCACCGAAUAUCUAAGGUUUCCUGAGGAAGGCUCGUCCGCUCAGGGUUAGUCGGGACCUAAGCCGAGGCCGAUAGGCGUAGGCGAUGGACAACAGGUAGAGAUUCCUGUACCAGUGCUAAUUGUUUAACCGAUGGGGUGACACAGAAGGAUAGGGAAUCGCACGAAUGGAAAUGUGCGUCCAAGCAGUGAGUGUGAGA
rnacentral:rRNA from 1 species